CAAAACUGAACAGUAAAAAUACUUUUUAUCAUCUUAGUAGAGCAGGAAAAGAGACAAUAUGAUUGUAAAAUUUGGAUUUGUUCUCCUUUUUGCUCUGGCUAUGUUCAUAUUUGCUGGCGCUCAAGACGAUCCGUGCGCACUUAUAGAUUGUUCAAAAAAUGAAAUUUGUGCACCAUGUGGACAAAAUGCCUGUAAUACGUAUUCUUGUAACGAUGAGCCAAGAAUGUGCACAGCGGAUUGCCGUGGUGAACCAGCCUGUAUCUGUAAGAAAGGCUAUGCUCGUGCAAAUGGAAAAGGUCGAUGCCAACCAUUAAAAUGUCCAAAGAAACAGUAACAAUAAAACAUUAUAUCGAAAAUUACGUUGGUCCAAAUAUUUCGAGAGAAAUUGAAACAUUUUUAAUUGGAGAUCUAUAAAUAUAUAUAAUUUGAUUUAAGGUGUUUUUAACACAUCGUACCGAAAUUAUGCCCAAACUGUCACACUGCUAGCGCCACGACGGAAUUCAGUGUAAUCUACACUAAGUCGCCGCCAAAUAGUGAGAAGACUUUUGCUCAGUUGCAAACAACAAACUAGAACUUCAUAGCUAUCCGUAGUGGCGCUAGCAGUGCUACAGUUUUGCAUUUUAUAGAGACUGUAUAAAACGGAGCAUAAUUUCGGUGUGUAACACAUUAAAUUUACAAUAUAUAAUUAUUUUUGUUUGAAAUAUUCUUAAAACAUAAAAAAUAAAUUAAACAUUUGGUAAUUCAUAAA